CCGCUCACGAGCGUCGAGCCAGCCCUACCGGUCACCACUGCCUCACGGCCUCACCUCUUGCGCCGCCGGCCCGCCUCUCCCAUCUCCGCCCCGCUCCCUCGCCCGUCGUCAGAUCCCCACCACACCCUUCUCUUCGCACUCUAGGGGUCAUGGAUCUGCUCCCGACGCCGACGGACGUGCCGGCCAGCGGUUCCGCUGCGCGCGGGGGCUCCCGGCCAGAUUCGCUAGCCCCCAUGGGCGGCGAGCAGCUCCACCACAGCGUCCGCGUCUGAUUCCUCCCUCAGCCACAGCCGCCCUGCUGGAGACAUGUCGAGGCUCGUGGCCGUCACGCUCCGCCGCGUCGAAGGAUUCCUCCUGCACCUGGCCGCUUCCGUGCCAGCGUCGGCUCAUCACUUCUCCAGGCAACGCGAACGCCAUGCCCACAGGCUCGCAUCAAAGACCCCACGAAGGUGGAUGUAGAAGACUAUUCGAUUCAAAAUCAUGUUUCUUGUACACCCAGCUAGACAAUCCAUAGCAGCCCAAGUCGACUUUGAAGUAGUUGCUGAUGUAAGACCUGAGUCCCGGAUAAGUGAGGUAAUCCCAGAAUCCAACUCCAUUUACUGUGUGUGCCAGGAAAUAUUUUCUUUUGCCCAUUUCAGCGAGCUUCUUCCUUCAGGUGUGCUGCGGCCUCUUAAGUUUUUGACCCAUAGGUUUUCCUGAAGUCAAGAUUUGAUAAGUUACAAGUGGCCUGCUAGCUGUUACAUAAAAAUGUUGUUGCAUGUUAACUAGUGGCCUGCUAGCCGUUAUAAUGGCCUGCUUAAUAAUAGUUUAGUCUGUGUUGGUUCUUUCUCCCCUGUUACAAUGACAAACACUUUCCUCUUACCUACACCAUUUCCAUCUAUGCACUUUUUUGAGUUUUCAGAUGACCUGGCCUUGGACGAAGAAGCGCACUGGGAUUGAAAGCUGUACAUAUAUUUUAAUUCAUUUUUUUUGCAAGUUCAGCAGUCUCUGUCCUAGCUUUUAGUUCAUUGUUUCUACAUUUAUAUCAGAUCAACAAACCUCCAAAUUUCUAAAUUCUGGAUGUUCAACUGUAAUCACUGAUACAGUAUCAUUUUCCUCUACCCAGUUUUCUAAAUAUUCUUAGUUUUUGUUAUUUUGAAAUUGGUUUUGUGAAUCAGAUCUCGUAGAAUGACCGGCCAAGUGCAGAGCUUAUCAUGGAAUGAUGGAAGAAUGCUAGAAUCCAUUUGUUUGGUAGGAAUUAGGAUGAGAUGCUACAUUACACUUCUGAGCUCAUUAGUGUUGUAAAAGAUGCUGCACAUUUGCUCGGUCGUCUAAGCUACUGUGCAUUUUUUGCAUAUAUCUACGUAGGAACAGAUGAGGAACUUUGAUGUAUAUGUCACCUAUUUAUUGUCAUUUUUUCUUUUUUUCUUUUUUAUUUCAUCAUCACAGACGCACUUUUGUAAAGUGAUUCUGUGGUAUCUGUCA